GAAGUGUUUUAUGCAUGUAAACAGUCUGCAAAGUCAAAACCCUCAAAGUACACCCUGUAGCGAGUAAACUCUAACACAGAAAAUACCUCGCCCAAAAGCCUCGUUGGAGAUUUCUCAGUUUCCAUUGUUUACUUCCUGCCCCGCGUGACGUAGCUGCACCGCGUGACGUCACUUCCUCUGCCAGUCGACCAUAUUAAGUGUCGUAAAACCUGCUUCUUUUCAAAGCUCUAUCCAGUCAUGUCGCGGAGGGUCUGUUCCCUGUAUUGUGUGGAGAAAUCCACAAUGUUUGCAGUACCGAAGGCAGAACCACGACGAAGUCAGUGGUUGACAUUCCUUUUUAACACUGUUCCAGCUGAUUUACCAGCCGGUACUGUUGUGUGUGCGCGGCAUUUCACGGACCUUAGCUUCGGACUUGCUGUAAAGCUGAUAUUGGAGGACGAUGCUGUUCCUACUUUGUUUGGACCAGUGGGAGAUUCGGGUACACAACCUGUAAGUAUUCAUUGUGGUUUGUGUAUUUAUUCUGUUUAAAACAAACAAUGUAUCUACCACGACUCUGUAAAUGCUAUGCUACCGAGGUAAACACGAGGGCUACCUAGCAUUCCCAGACCUCAACACCGAUGUUAGCACAUGGCCUUACAUGUAUCUCAUAGCAGGAGAAUGUCUGCAAACACACACGAAAUACUCAUAGACAGUAUACUCCGGGUGAUUUAACCGUACGGUCAGUAAUUACAGUUGCCGUUCGUGUAUUCUACCGAGCUACCAUUAAUAAGCUAGAAGCUCUAACCUAGAGAUGUUAUGAAAAACAUUGUUUUCAUGCCAGCUACAAUGAAUGAAUGACCGAACGUAGCAGACUAACUGUAUAAUAUUGCAAUUGUAAGAUGUUCUUGCUAAGCCUAGACUAGCUGUUAAACUGCAUAUUAGGUUAGCAUAUUAGCUGGCAAGCUAACUGUGUUGAUUACUGAUAGAUAAUCAUAGCUGGAGAAUUUCGUCUGCAAACACACAUGAAAUACUCAUAGACAGUAUACUCUGGCUUAUGUACGGCCAGUCGCCAAACAUAAUUACAUUGAAGUUGGCGGUCCUAGCAGCUAAUGCUACUGAGCUACAAAGAGUCUGAAAUAUUACGCUACAUGGGAAAAGGUAGCAGACUAUCUGUAGAACAUUGUAAAAGUGUUGCUUUUAUGAAAUUGACUGUUUUCCUCGGAUACAAAAUUAAUUGUAUGAAUACUAUGUGUAUCUUUCUUAGAGUACAUCACAGCAGGAACACAAUACCCACCGCUCCAGUACAGUCGGAUGUCAAACAGACCGUCCACAGACUGUUUGUGUGGGAACUCAGAGGGUUGAGACACGGUCUGUGGGAACACAGACAGUGGAAUGUAAAGUGUCCGCCAUUUCUGUUGCUACACAGUUGGCCCGGGGAACACUGAAAUCGGCACACGUGAGAAGCAAAGGCAUCCAGGCCACGGUGUCUUUCAAAAGUGUUGGCACUAAAACUUCCACCUACACAGAAAUCCCCUUGUCCUCUACACCAAUAAAGGGCCCAGGAUUGGGACCUAGCAAGAGACCUCGACUAGAGUUGGAGCAGGAACAAGGAGAGACUUCGAUUGAAUUUGAAGAGACUCUGGAUUCGAGUUACCACCCUGAUGAUACUGUAGAAGAAUCUGACGUAUCACUUCAGACACGAUCCACGCACAGUGACGCAAAGUACAUUGUGUUUGAAAGCUGCCUCGGACAGCUGUUUGAAAAAUUUCCGUUUUGUAAGAUAGACUGUGAUGUCCAAAAACGAAAAAAUGGGACUUUUGUGGCGUUCAAACAGCGUUGUCCAAACUGCACUUACUUCAGAGAAUGGGAGAGCCAGCCCAUCAUUGGAAGUACCCCGGUUGGCAACUUACAAUUAUCUGCUGCUACAUACUUCACUGGUGCUUCCUUCUUCCAACUAAAAAAAGAUAUGCAGAGCCAUGCAGCUGGAGAUCUUCCAGUAUGAGACCUUCAGGAGGCAUGCUAGGCAUUAUCUGGAGCCUGCUAUUAUCCACAAGUGGAAAACUGAUCAGCUGAAGAUUUUCCAGCAACUACACCACCAGGGGGGAAAGGUCACAGUUGCAGGAGAUAUGAGAGCAGACUUUCCAGGCCACUCAGCUAAGUUUGGGAGCUACACACUAAUGCACCUGGGAAGCAACACCAUUGUGGACUUCUAGCUUGUUCAGUGUACGUGGGUGAGCUGAUGAGGCUGGUGUUUGAAGAAGUCUUUGAGGACCCAACACCCUUUGUGGAGGAGAUGAAUAAAAUCAACAUCCCAAAGGACCUGUCCACUCAAUUUGACAGGCCCUCAAAGGAGGAAGUGGUAGCCCGCCAUGUCUCAGGUUUUAGUCUAGGGGCGGUCGGAAGCCCACGUACUGUCCAGCCAGAUCAGGGAACUCCUGGCUUAUCCGGCGGACCACACACGACAGGAUGACCACUCUGAUUCCUCGUCCCAAAAAGCCCCAGCACCAGCUUACGAAGCUGCGAUAGACCAGAUGCCUAAAACGCCUAUAAGAGGAGGAAUGGAUGAUAACAUAUAUGUGCUGUCCUGUUUUUCACCCUUACCCUCUGGCUGCUUGAACAACUGAAUUUCCCCACAGGGAUUAAUAAAGGUCCAUCUUAUCUCAUACAGUGUGUAUAUAUACAUAUGAUCAAUUUGUACAUUUAUCAAAAUAAAGUUUGAUGGAACUACUUGAUAGCCUUUCUUCCCUGAAUUAUUUGCUCCUAGAUCAUUCAUAUAUAGCAAACCAUUAUUUGAUUUUUCAUCUAAUACAGUAGUAGUUUAUUAUAGCUAAAAAUAACUUGCUCUUCUUCAGUUCUACGCCUCAAAGGUCCAUAAUCAAACCGAUAAAUAUUGUGGAGGUUCUGCAGGGUGUAGGGAUUGAGGCAGUUUGGUUCUAGUCUGGGGUGGUCAACCAUGCACACAAUGGUUUCUGGGACUUUGUGCAUUCGUGUUAAAACCUAUAGGAGGAUAAGAUAUUUGUAACAUAAUACGUUUAGCAAUUAAAUCCAACUAUGGCGAGGUUUACAAAAUAAACAUUAAAUUACUAUAGAAUAAAUAAAAGGGCAUAUAGUCUAUUGACUUGACAAGUAUGUAUGGUGUAUAUAAUGUUGUGUGCUACUGUUGGUGUUUUUGUAUUUGUUGUGGUGACACGCUGUUUUGACCAUAAUUCACCUUUGGUAUAGUGUUGCCACACGGACCCUUUAGUGUGUGCUCUUAGGUUUAGCUUGUCAUUCCUAGCUUGUCAGACAGAGCAGACAUGUAUUUUACCUGAUUCUAAACACACCGCCCCCGACUCCCUUUCAUCGGCACUACACUGUCACCUUUCUAAUCUCCCUGCAACAGAGGUCUUCCACCUCGGUAGGCAUUACUGCGCAGUUUCCACACGUGCACCUAAAUAACAGUUGGAAAGUUUGGUUAGUCAGCGGACACACUUGUUACUGUGAUGUAGAUAAAUGAUGACGUUCUAACAUUACAUCUGAAAUGUAGCAGCUAUACAAAAUUAAAACGUUCCACUGUGAAACCGCCUGCUGUAUUCUUGUUUGGGACGGUGGAUCAGGUCCAUCACGGUCCGUUUCACUCUCUGGGUCGGACUCCGGUUCGUACAUAUAUGGCUUUACUGACGCCAUUUCAUUUCUGCUACUCCGCUCAGAGCCGAAAAAACACAAUGGGCUAAAUGGGCUAAGUACCCGCUAAACCACUUUACGGCAGAUGUCAACAGGGGCAGAGCCUCUCUGGUGGUUGACAAAUCAGAACAGAGGGGCCGAGCUGACCAAUCGGAGCACACUGGGCUCACAGGGAGGGGGGGCAAGAGCUGCAACGAGCCGUUUAGUGGAGAGAGUGAAUACACGUAGUUUACAGAGAUGCUGUAUGCGAAACAAUGUGAGUUUGGAAAAUUGCACAGUAUAAAUCUAUUCUAGUAGACAUCAACAAUGGAAUUAUGAUCAGUGGAAAUGGCCAUGACAUGGGACCUUUAAAUAAAUGUGAAAAAUACUGAAGAGCUUCCACAUUCCGGCCCCUAAUUGUGAGAAUCACAAUUACCCUUAUGUAAAACAUAUAAGGGAGCCAUUCUCUCUAUCCAUGAGCCAUAGUGUCUUCUGUGUCACCUUCUCUGUAUCCACU